CCUACGGGAGGCAGCAGUGGGGAAUAUUGCGCAAUGGGCGAAAGCCUGACGCAGCGACGCCGCGUGGGUGAUGAAGGCCUUCGGGUUGUAAAGCCCUGUCGGGUGGAACGAACGAUCUGGCGGCGAAUAACCGCCGGGUGUGACGGUACCACCGAAGGAAGCCCCGGCUAACUACGUGCCAGCAGCCGCGGUAAGACGUAGGGGGCGAGCGUGGUUCGGAUUUACUGGGCGUAAAGCGUGCGUAGGCGGCGAAAUGCCUCGGCUUAACCGAGGUGACGCAUCCGCUACUGUCUGGCUCGAGUCUAGGAGAGGAAAGCGGAAUUCCCAGUGUAGCGGUGAAAUGCGUAGAUAUUGGGAGGAACACCGGUGGCGAAGGCGGCUUUCCGGACUAGUACUGACGCUGAGGCGAGAAAGCUAGGGGAGCGAACGGGAUUAGAUACCCGGGUAGUC
rnacentral:rRNA from 1 species